UUAAGUUCGCAUUAUCUGUCAUGAAAAUUAAAAAAAAACUGACAUGUGAGCAAGAUAAAAUGUCAUGGGACGUCAGGAGUUUAUAAUGAUCGUGGCGGUGUCAGCCACCCUGACCUGCGCAGCUACAAUCCUCGACAACAUCGGCGGACGACGCCGGUGGCCAUAAUGAUACCAAAAUAAACAAUGUACAACCAAGAAGCAGUACAUCAAUUCCGAAAAGAUGACACGAUAGUUCCAUACAACAUAAACUAA